rnacentral:rRNA from 1 species
UGAACGGCCACAUUGGGACUGAGACACGGCCCAGACUCCUACGGGAGGCAGCAGUGGGGAAUAUUGCACAAUGGGGGAAACCCUGAUGCAGCGACGCCGCGUGGAGGAAGAAGGUCUUCGGAUUGUAAACUCCUGUUGUUGAGGAAGAUAAUGACGGUACUCAACAAGGAAGUGACGGCUAACUACGUGCCAGCAGCCGCGGUAAAACGUAGGUCACAAGCGUUGUCCGGAAUUACUGGGUGUAAAGGGAGCGCAGGCGGGAAGACAAGUUGGAAGUGAAAUCCAUGGGCUCAACCCAUGAACUGCUUUCAAAACUGUUUUUCUUGAGUAGUGCAGAGGUAGGCGGAAUUCCCGGUGUAGCGGUGGAAUGCGUAGAUAUCGGGAGGAACACCAGUGGCGAAGGCGGCCUACUGGGCACCAACUGACGCUGAGGCUCGAAAGUGUGGGUAGCAAACAGGAUUAGAUACCCUGGUAGUCCACACCGUAAACGAUGAUUACUAGGUGUUGGAGGAUUGACCCCUUCAGUGCCGCAGUUAACACAAUAAGUAAUCCACCUGGGGAGUACGACCGCAAGGUUGAAACUCAAAGGAAUUGACGGGGGCCCGCACAAGCAGUGGAGUAUGUGGUUUAAUUCGACGCAACGCGAAGAACCUUACCAAGUCUUGACAUCCUGCGACGAUGCUAGAAAUAGUAUUUUCCUUCGGGACGCAGAGACAGGUGGUGCAUGGUUGUCGUCAGCUCGUGUCGUGAGAUGUUGGGUUAAGUC